rnacentral:rRNA from 1 species
GAUGAACGCUGGCGGCGUGCCUAAGACAUGCAAGUCGAGUGGGUUUAGACCCACGGCGAACGGGUGAGUAAUACCUAGGAACUUUCUUCAAGUUGAGGAUAUCCCACCGAAAGGUGGUGCAAUACUCGAUGUGGUCGCAAGACUAAAGUCGCAAGACGCUUGAUGUGAGGCCUGGGCACCAUCAGCUAGUUGGUAAGGUAAUGGCUUACCAAGGCUACGACGGUUAGGGGCCCCGAGAGGGGA